rnacentral:rRNA from 1 species
ACCCGCUGAACUUAAGCAUAUCAAUAAGCGGAGGACAAGAAACCAACAGGGAUUGCCCUAGUAACGGCGAGUGAAGCGGCAACAGCUCAGAUUUAAAAUCUGGCCCUGGGCAUCCAGGGCCCGAGUUGUAGUCUGCAGAGGAUGCUUCCAGGUGUGCCGGAGCCCCAAGUCCUGUGGAACCAGGGCGCCAAAGAGGGUGAGAGCCCCGUCUAGGGCUCCGUGCGUCGCCGCUCAGUGUAGCUCCUUCAACGAGUCGAGUUGUUUGGGAAUGCAGCUCUAAAUGGGUGGUAAAUCUCAUCUAAAGCUAAAUACCAGCCAGAGACCGAUAGCGCACAAGUAGAGUGAUCGAAAGAUGAAAAGCACUUUGAAAAGAGAGUCAAACAGCACGUGAAAUUGUUGAAAGGGAAGCGCUUGCAACUAGACGCAGCCUGCAGCUGUCAAUGAGCAGGCACAUCUUUUGCUGCCUGCUUUUCUCAGUCUGCUGGGCUGGGCCAGCAUCAGCGCAGGGGGCUGCAUACGGGGUCUGGUCUUGGAAUGUAGCUCUCUCCUCUGUGGGAGAGUGUUAUAGCCGGCUGCUAGCCCACUGCUGCCACCCUGUGCUGAGGAACACGCUUUAUUGCACUGAUGCCUGGCGUAAUGGUUGC